UUCUUAAGGAAAAGAAGUGAAAUUUGGGGUUUCAUUGGUGUUCUUGAGAAAGAGGUGAUUUUACAGGUUACCCCCUUGGUAAUCAGGAGCCACGCCCCACUGUGGAGUUUUCAUCUGAGGACUGGUGGGUCCUUGAUGAGUUCGAGCAUGGUGUCGAUUGUACGAGUGAGGAUUGUGCUGCGUGGCAGCUAUGACUCCUGAAUGAUUCUUUUGAUUCUAUUUUAUGUACUCCUUUUUUGUACUUGAUGCUUAAAUUAUUAUAUUUUGUAUAUAUAUUAUGCCUUUGGGCCCAAAUGUAUGUAACCUUUAUAACUAAAUUUGGGUGUCGAGUAUUUGAGAAACAAUUAUAGGUUUUAUUA